rnacentral:tRNA from 1 species
GCGAGCGUAGUCUAGUGGUUAUGAUGUCUGCUUUACAUCCUCCAAGAUCUAAAGCGCAGAAGGUCGGGAGUUCGAUCCUCCCCGCUCGUA